UGGACUUCCAGAGAGACGGACGGUCAGAUCAAGAAGAUUGUGUUUGCCUGUUUGGAAAUAUUUUUUUUACCUAACAAAGAAAUAGAAUAUAUGGAUAUUGAGAAGGAGUUGGGAGU
rnacentral:sRNA from 1 species